GCGCAUCCCGCCCAGGAGUGGCGCCGCACACAUGGAGAGCUGAUGCAGCAAGAUGACGCAACAAGAGAGAGACACACAUUCCCUGUGCCACUGAGAAUGCCAUCGACGAAGAAGACACAGCAAAUGGACACAAGAAAGCGGACAAUGGGGGGUGGGGGUAGAAAUAAAUAAAAAUAAAUCUUAAAAAAAAACAAACAAACCUGGUAACACGGCAGGCAGGCGUGGCCCCGAGCCCCAAGAAGCCACCAUACAGAUGUGAAAGCAGCCUGCUCCCAGCCACCGGGCCGGUAAGAGGGGACUUCCCAAAAGACGGGGGGGGGGGGGGGGGUGGGGGCGGCGAAAGCGGCUCAAGACACCCGUAGCGUCCAGGGACUUCCCUGCACUCUGGGACUCAAACCAAAGUCCUCACCGAGGCCCAAAGGCCCCGGGGUCACCUGGCGCCUGCCUCGCUGCCUUGCCAGCCUCGUUCCCGCUGCCCGGCCCCGCACUCGCUCUACCUUCCUUCACAGCAGCUGCCGUCAUCCUGCCCUAGGUGUGCCCUGGCUCAGUUUCCCCCCUGAAGGUGUUCUCGCCAGGUGGGUUUUGCAAUCUCUUUGUCCCCUUCCAAACAACAAGCAAAUGAAACGAAACCUCCCCAGAGUGGUACCAGGGACCCCCGCCCCGUUGACGGCCUGGAAGGGAAUCCAAAGCCAAGCCCACCCGGCUUGUCGGCCGCCGCCCGCGCACCCCGUUCCAGCCGCCCGCGGCCGGCGCGCCACCUCGGCCGAAUUUGAUAAACGGCCAUCUCCCCCAGGAAGGAAGUCCCACCCCGCCACCACCACCCCGGCACCCGCUGCUCUUCCUCCCGAGCCGCAGGGCUGCAGUCCCACGAGGCGGCCAGUGUCCUGACCUCAGUGAACCCUGGAACGCUCCACCCGGCAGGGAAGCGAAACCUCACCCGGCGGACACCAGAGAGCGACUGCAGCAGGGCUCCCCGCACGGCUCCCACGGGCCGCGGCGGGCUGGGGGUGGCACGGGGGGCCGCGGCCGGGCUGGGGGCA
rnacentral:lncRNA from 1 species